rnacentral:rRNA from 1 species
AAAAGAAACUAACCAGGAUUCCCCCAGUAACGGCGAGUGAAGCGGGAAGAGCUCACGUUGUAAAUCUGCCUUCGGGCCGAAUUGUAGUCUGGAGAGGCGAGACCAGCCGUGGCCGGGGGCGAAGUCUCUUGGAAAAGAGCAUCAAGGAGGGUGACAAUCCCGUUCUUGCCCCCACGCCGCGCGCGUACGGUCCGUUUUCUAAGAGUCGAGUUGCUUGGGAUUGCAGCUCAAAGCGGGUGGUAAAUUCCAUCUAAAGCUAAACACGGGUGGGAGACCGAUAGCGAACAAGUACCGUGAGGGAAAGAUGCAAAGAACUUUGAAAAGAGAGUUAAAGAGUGCCUGAAAUUGCUGAAAGGGAAGCGAAGGAAACCAGUGUCUGGCGUCGAAGCUUUCCCUCCGCCCUUCGGGGCUCUGGGUCGCGUCUUCGCCGUGGCCAGGGUCGGGUAUGGUUGCGGGAGCCUGCGUCGUGGAAGGUAGCUUCUCCUCGGAGGGUGAAUACCGCGGCGUGUCGUCGCGACUGUGGCCGGCUCUGACGAAAUGGUUUUCUUUACCCCGUCUUGAAACACGGACCAAGGAGUCUAACAUGCCCGCGAGUACAGGGGUGUUCAAACCCCCGUGCGCAGUGAAAGUGAAUGCAGGUGGGAAGCCGCAAGGUGGCACCAUCGACCGACCAUGUCCCUCCGGGGGCGAGGUUUGAGUGUGAGCGUGCAUGUUGGGACCCGAAAGAUGGUGAACUAUGCCUGAAUAGGGCGAAGCCAGGGGAAACUCUGGUGGAGGCUCGUAGCGAUUCUGACGUGCAAAUCGAUCGUGAGAUUUGGGUAUAGGGGCGAAAGACUAAUCGAACCAUCUAGUAGCUGGUUCCCUCCGAAAUUUCCCUCAGGAUAGCUGCAACCUGCGUUCAGUUUUAUCAGGUAAAGCGAAUGAUUAGAGGCUGCGGGGAAGCAACUUCCUCGCCCUAUUCUCAAACUUUAAAUGGGUAAGAGACCGGGGUCGCUUAAUUGGACCCUGUGUUGGAAUGAAGGUUGCUAGUGGGCCAGUCCGGGUAAGCUGGACUGGCGAUGCGGGAUGAACCGAACGCCUAGUUAAAGCGCCAAACUGCCCGCUCACCUAGAUCCCACAAAAGGUGUUGGUUCAUUCAGACAGCAGGACGGUGGCCAUGGAAGUCGGAAUCCGCUAAGGAGUGUGUAACAACUCACCUGCCGAAUGAACUAGCCCUGAAAAUGGAUGGCGCUGAAGCGAGCGGCUUAUACUAGGCCAUUGGGGAGAGUGCGUUUCCCCAAUGAGUAGGAGGGCGCGGGGCUCGUAGCGCAUCUUCGGCCG